UACAGGGGUCUCAAGCGUUGUUCGGAUUCAUUGGGCGUAAAGGGUGCGUAGGCGGCGCGGUAAGUCGGGUGUGAAAUCUCGGAGCUUAACUCCGAAACUGCAUUCGAUACUGCCGUGCUUGAGGACUGGAGAGGAGACUGGAAUUUACGGUGUAGCGGUGAAAUGCGUAGAUAUCGUAAGGAAGACCAGUGGCGAAGGCGGGUCUCUGGACAGUUCCUGACGCUGAGGCACGAAGGCCAGGGGAGCAAACGGG
rnacentral:rRNA from 1 species